rnacentral:lncRNA from 1 species
AAAUUAAAUAAUUUUUUCUACAUGUUCUAAAGUCAAUAUUUGCUAUAUGUUUUAUUAUAUUUCAGAUUAUUGGAGUGAUGAUAGCAAUGCGGUACAGAAAUCUGAAAGAUCCUUCAGCAAAUCCUAAUGCUUUUCUUUGAUCCAUAUACUGUAUAGUUAUUUAAAUAAGACAUUUUCCCUAAGUCCCACAGUUCUGUAGCCAUGCUCACAA